AUGGAAGAUAACAACUUAUGCAUUUUGAAUUGGAAUGUUCGUGGAUUGAACUGCCCAGACCGUCGUUCUACUGUACAUGAAAACAUCGCCUCCACUUCUUGCAACAUUGUAUGUCUUCAAGAAACCAAGCUUGCAGCCGUGGAUCCUUUUAUUGCUACUUUCCUCGGCAGCCACCGUCUGAAAAGUUUCACUGAGCGGCCCGCGAAUGGCACCCGUGGAGGAAUUCUUCUAUUAUGGAAUGAAGACCUAGUCAAUAUUGAUAAUGUGAGCUUUGGGGACUUCUUCCUCUCGGCCAUGGUGACUAUCAUUGGCUCAAACACAUCCUUCCAAAUCACAACCGUGUAUGGCCCUACUAGAGGCAAUUUGAAGGAUGCCUUUUUCCUUGAAAUGGUUGGACAAAAACCUCCUGUUGGCACGAGAUGGAUUGUCACCGACGACUUCAACCAAGUCUAUCGGGCCAGAGAUAAGAACCAUACAAAUAUCGAUCGCAGCCGUAUUGUCCGCUUCCGCAACGCCCUCAAUGCUUGUGAGCUAAAGGAGAUACACUUGCAGAAUAGGAAAUUCACAUGGAGCAAUGAGCAAGUAAACCAGACCAUGAGCAAACUUGAUAGCUUCUUUUGCAAUGAAGAUUGGGACAUUCAGUUUGGCUCCCACCUUCUCCACGCAUUGUCAUCUUCAUUGUCCGACCACUGUCCUCUACUCCUUGCUAGUGAUGCGGGGCCCUCCCGGCCAAAAUGCUUCCACUUUGAAAACUUUUGGAUCAAGAUGCCUAACUUCAAGAAGACUGUUCAAGAUGCUUGGAAUAAGAGAGUCCCCCAUGUCAAGCCAUGUCAAAUCCUCUUUCACAAGCUAAAAAGAGUUAGUCAACACCUUCGCACUUGGAGCAAAAAGAUCUUCUCGAACCAUAAGGUCCAACUUCACAUGGCCCUUGACAUCAUUCUUAGAUUGGAUUUGGCCCAAGAGAGUAGAACAUUGAUCUCUGAGUAG
rnacentral:rRNA from 1 species